rnacentral:misc_RNA from 1 species
UGACAAAACAGUGCAAUG